AGAGUUUGAUCAUGGCUCAGGAUGAACGCUAGCUACAGGCUUAACACAUGCAAGUCGAGGGGCAGCAUGUUGGUUGCUUGCAACCAAUGAUGGCGACCGGCGCACGGGUGAGUAACGCGUAUCCAACCUACCCUUGUCCAUCGGAUAACCCGUCGAAAGGCGGCCUAACACGAUAUGCGGUUCUCAGCAGGCAUCUAACGAGAACGAAAUGUGAAGGAGAAGGAUGGGGAUGCGUCUGAUUAGCUUGUUGGCGGGGUAACGGCCACAAGGCGACGAUCAGUAGGGGUUCUGAGAGGAAGGUCCCCCCACAUUGGAACUGAGACACGGUCCAAACGUCCUACGGGAGCA
rnacentral:rRNA from 1 species